AUGUGGCUCCAUCCCUUUGUGCUUUGGGGUAGUGGGGAGACAACAAGUGGGAUGUGGGGAGUGCAGGGAUCAUGGACUUCACUCCUACCCCAUCUACCCUCCCCUGCCUUGGGUGAUGGCCCAGUGAAGGUCUUGCCCAGCAUCCCUGGAGCCUCUUCGUCGCUCUGGCAGAGCAGAGCUGGGCACUGGCUAAGUGCCAGCAGAGGCUUUGCUUUGUAUCAGGAUUUACAACAGGGGUGGGGAAGGUGUCAGCCUGCUGUAAAUGCCACAGAUCCUGAACAAAGCAAUUUGUGGGGUCCUGGGAGCACAGCAAAGGCUGGGGGUGCUGUGAAUCACUGCUCAAUACAGGCACCUCCAGCAAGUCUCACCCAUGGUGCUCUAACCCUUCUCUGUGGAUGGAGGGGGACAUCUUUUGAGUCCUGCUCCUCCUGCCCAGGGGGACAUUCUCCAGGCUGGGAGCUGCAUUGGCCACCCUGUCUGCUAUGGAGCUGUGCUGGGCCUGGUGCCCAGGCAGGAAGGGAGGGAGCUGGGCAGGGCAGGACGCAGUGCUCCGGCCGGCAAAGGAAGUGGUGUUUCCUGCAGAGUGCUGUGGGGCUUCCAGCAGCCCAUGGUGGGACUGCUCACUCCCAGCCCCACAUGGCCUGGGGACAAGGAUGGGAUGAUUUCCCUUCAUGUCUCCUGUCACUCAUGGAUGUAUCCCCAUUUUAUAACCAGCUGGACUUCUUCCUUCCCUGCUCCCUCCUGGGUCCUGGGAAACUAUCCCAGCCUUUAAUAUCUCUCGAUCACUCUCUGCCAAGUACUACAGCAUACCCUGGCUCAUGCCACCCCCACAGGGACAGAGGGACCAGAAGCUGUCACAGGACUACAGCAGGACUGGCAGGGUUGGCAGCUAUCUCCAAGGGCUGCAGCCCACCCCAUGGCUGCAGAUUUGGACUAGGGCUAACAGCUGCAUUUUUCACCUGUGCUCUAGAAAUGCCCGCAAGCCCUUCCAUGGAUGCCCCUUCUGCUCAUGUGCCAUGGGAUCCCAUUCCCAGGGCUGCUGGGAAUGAUGUAACAUCCUGUCCUUUCUCUCCUCAUGAAGCCUAA
rnacentral:lncRNA from 1 species